CCUUUGUCCCCCUCUCACUCUGCCCUCCCCUGCUCACACACUCUCUCAAAAAUAAAUAAGAAACCUUAAAAAAAAAAAAAAAAAAAAAAGAUGUGCAGAGAAAAUGUAAUGAUUUUGUCUGAAACCAAUCUAGGCCUCUCCAAGCCUCCACCUGCUGGUCAGUGGGCCUACCUUCUCCUGGCUACUGGGCAAAGAACCGAGUUCCCUUGUGGCUGAGCUCCCUCCCACCAUGGACGGUGGGCCCAGAACCCCACCUCCUGCCUUCAUCAUCUCUUCAUUCACCUGAUGCCCGCAGCACACACAUGUUGAACCAUUCAUUAUGGUGGCUUCAUUCUCUUGCUUUUCCUCUUUCUUCCCGCCAUUCCCACAGCCCAAAAGGGUGGACUUUUAUAUCAUCCUUCUUCCUCCAAGCUCAUGUUAUACCUUUGAUAUGCUAAAUAGCAUUAGAGAAACUUGGAAGAUCUCUCAAAACAACAGCUUGGCUUUUCCAGACAGAAGUGCUACCUCUGCAUUUUUCUACAAUGAAUUCUAAUCUCUCCUGGCAAAUAGAUGCCUCCCAGACUAGGCUGCGGGCCGAAAGGCAGAAGCGUAACACACAGCAGUGAUUUUUCAAGACCUCCUGUUGGGCACGUCCCACAUUGCUGGCUUGGACUGUUGAUGGUAUUUAAGCAAAAUGGAAAAAGUGAAUGAGGAGCAUUAUUUGGAAGGAAGUAAGUUCAGCACUAGGCCCGUUGAGUUUUAUGUGCCCGAGAGGAGCAGAUGCGUGAAUGACCACGUGGCCCGCAGGUGGCAGGCCAAAGGAGAGAUCGGGGCUGGAGCACGGGUCAGGCCUUGUCAGCCCUAGAAUUCUGCAUAGUACGUUAACUUGAGUCGUCCUUACUACCUUUCCUGGGGACUGACACCUGUGUCCCCUAGGAAAGAUCCAGGAGCCGCAGGGAGGAGGGAAUGGCUAAGGGAGGUCACGGACAAGAGCAACACACGGCAUGGAGCGGUCCUGGCCUAGGCUGCCCAGUGACGGCGAUGCAGUGCUCCCCCGGUGAGCAAACGGAGGCUCUCCCCCUCGGAAGGAAGGACAGUCUUCGAGGGAUGGGCACUGGUCAGGACUGCACGUUGCUGGGUGCUGACGCAGGCCCGGCCUUCUCCCGCUGGGAGCCGGCUCUGCCCUCCUGGCCUCUGACCACUUCCCACUGCCUCCUGAGUCCCUGGGAGCCUGGGAAAAGCAGUGCACGGGAAGCUCCAAAGCUCUUGCGUGUAGAAG